rnacentral:rRNA from 1 species
AGUAAAAGUCGUAACAAGGUUUCCGUAGGUGAACCUGCGGAAGGAUCAUUAACGAGUUUUGAAAGGGGUUGUCGCUGGCCUUUCACGAGGCAUGUGCACACCCUGCUCAUCCACUCUCAACCUCUGUGCACUUAUUGUAGGUCGGUGGAAGGCUCGCAAGAGCUGGAAGCCUGCUUAUGUUUUACUACAAACGCUUCAGUUAUAGAAUGUUUACUUGCGUAUAACGCAUUUAUAUACAACUUUCAGCAACGGAUCUCUUGGCUCUCGCAUCGAUGAAGAACGCAGCGAAAUGCGAUAAGUAAUGUGAAUUGCAGAAUUCAGUGAAUCAUCGAAUCUUUGAACGCACCUUGCGCUCCCUGGUAUUCCGGGGAGCACGCCCGUUUGAGUGUCAUGGUAUUCUCAACCUUCCUCACUUUUGUGACUGGAAGGCUUGGAUGUGGAGGUCGUGCGGGCUCUCGCGAGUCGGCUCCUCUGAAAUGCAUUAGCGUGAACGUUUACGGAUCGCUAUCAGUGUGAUAAUUAUCUGCGCUGUUAGUGUUGAAGUAUUGCUUAGUGUCGCGCUUCUAACCGUCCUUCAGUUGGACAACUUAUCUGACAUCUGGCCUCAAAUCGGGCGGGACUACCCGCUGAACUUAAGCAUAUCAAUAAGCGGAGGA